CUUUGAUGAUGUUCGGAUUCAUGGACUGCCCCGGAGGUGCCCGGCGCGGGGCUCCGAUGACGGCGGCUCUCCGCGUCCCCGCCGGCUGCACGCCGCUCCCCGUGACUUUGCCAUAGGACUCCUCCGGUUCGUCCGCAGGAGCUUUGCAGCAUCCUCUGCGCAGGGUCAGCCCACGGCACGCGGGGACCCCGCGGUGCUCCCC
rnacentral:lncRNA from 1 species